rnacentral:rRNA from 1 species
AGCAGCCGCGGUAAUUCCAGCUCCAAUAGCGUAUAUUAAAGUUGCUGCAGUUAAAAAGCUCGUAGUUGGAUUUCUGGUCUGGUGCACCUGGCCCGCCGCAUCAGCGUGUGAGUGCCGGGUUGCGCCUGCCAUCCUUCUAGAGAACCUAUCUACCCUUCAUUGGGCCGGAUAGGCCAUCUAGAUCUUUUACUUUGAAAAAAU